rnacentral:rRNA from 1 species
AGGAUCAUUACCGAGUGCAGGCCUCGCCCCACAGGCAGGCCUAACCUCCCACCCGUGAAUACCUGACCAACGUUGCUUCGGCGGUGCGCGCCCCCUUCCCGGGGGGCGUAAGCCGCCGGGGACCACACCGAACUUCUUGUUUUUAGCGUGUCGUCUGAGCUUGAUACAAGCAAACCUAAUUAAAACUUUCAACAAUGGAUCUCUUGGUUCCGGCAUCGAUGAAGAACGCAGCGAACUGCGAUAAGUAAUGUGAAUUGCAGAAUUCAGUGAAUCAUCGAGUCUUUGAACGCACAUUGCGCCCCCUGGCAUUCCGGGGGGCAUGCCUGUCCGAGCGUCAUUGCUGCCCUUCAAGCCCGGCUUGUGUGUUGGGUCGUCGUCCCCCCCGGGGGACGGGCCCGAAAGGCAGCGGCGGCACCGCGUCCUGGUCCUCGAGCGUAUGGGGCUUUGUCACCCGCUCGUUUAGGGCCGGCCGGGCGCCAGCCGGCGUCUCCAAACCUUUUAUUUUACCAGGUUGACCUCGGAUCAGGUAGGGAUACCCGCUGAACUUAAGCAUAUCAAUAA